rnacentral:rRNA from 1 species
GAUCAUGGCUCAGGAUGAACGCUAGCUACAGGCUUAACACAUGCAAGUCGAGGGGUAGCAGGGUAGCAAUACCGCUGACGACCGGCGCACGGGUGAGUAACACGUAUCCAACCUUCCCAUAACUCAGGGAUAGCCUUUCGAAAGAAAGAUUAAUACCUGAUAGUACUUUUUCAAGGCAUCUUGAGAAAGUUAAAGAUUUAUUGGUUAUGGAUGGGGAUGCGUUCCAUUAGAUAGUUGGUGAGGUAACGGCUCACCAAGUCUUCGAUGGAUAGGGGUUCUGAGAGGAAGGUCCCCCACAUUGGUACUGAGACACGGACCAAACUCCUACGGGAGGCAGCAGUGAGGAAUAUUGGUCAAUGGGCGAGAGCCUGAACCAGCCAAGUAGCGUGAAGGAAUGAAGGUCCUAUGGAUUGUAAACUUCUUUUAUAGUAGAAUAAAGUGAUCCACGUGUGGAUUUUUGUAUGUAUACUAUGAAUAAGGAUCGACUAACUCCGUGCCAGCCGCCGC